rnacentral:tRNA from 1 species
GGCCCCAUCGUCUAGUGGCCUAGGACGGAGGCCUCUCACGCCUCAAACAUGGGUUCGAAUCCCGUUGGGGUCACCA